rnacentral:rRNA from 1 species
UAUUAUGAGAGUUUGAUCCUGGCUCAGGACGAACGCUGGCGGCGUGCCUAAUACAUGCAAGUCGAACGCUUCUUUUCCCACCGGAGCUUGCUCCACCGGGAAAAGAGGAGUGGCGAACGGGUGAGUAACACGUGGGUAACCUGCCCAUCAGAAGGGGAUAACACUUGGAAACAGGUGCUAAUACCGUAUAACAAUCGAAACCGCAUGGUUUCGUUUUGAAAGGCGCUUUACGGUGCCGCUGAUGGAUGGACCCGCGGUGCAUUAGCUAGUUGGUGAGGUAACGGCUCACCAAGGCCACGAUGCAUAGCCGACCUGAGAGGGUGAUCGGCCACAUUGGGACUGAGACACGGCCCAAACUCCUACGGGAGGCAGCAGUAGGGAAUCUUCGGCAAUGGACGGAAGUCUGACCGAGCAACGCCGCGUGAGUGAAGAAGGUUUUCGGAUCGUAAAACUCUGUUGUUAGAGAAGAACAAGGGUGAGAGUAACUGUUCACCCCUUGACGGUAUCUAACCAGAAAGCCACGGCUAACUACGUGCCAGCAGCCGCGGUAAUACGUAGGUGGCAAGCGUUGUCCGGAUUUAUUGGGCGUAAAGCGAGCGCAGGCGGUUUCUUAAGUCUGAUGUGAAAGCCCCCGGCUCAACCGGGGAGGGUCAUUGGAAACUGGGAGACUUGAGUGCAGAAGAGGAGAGUGGAAUUCCAUGUGUAGCGGUGAAAUGCGUAGAUAUAUGGAGGAACACCAGUGGCGAAGGCGGCUCUCUGGUCUGUAACUGACGCUGAGGCUCGAAAGCGUGGGGAGCAAACAGGAUUAGAUACCCUGGUAGUCCACGCCGUAAACGAUGAGUGCUAAGUGUUGGAGGGUUUCCGCCCUUCAGUGCUGCAGCUAACGCAUUAAGCACUCCGCCUGGGGAGUACGACCGCAAGGUUGAAACUCAAAGGAAUUGACGGGGGCCCGCACAAGCGGUGGAGCAUGUGGUUUAAUUCGAAGCAACGCGAAGAACCUUACCAGGUCUUGACAUCCUUUGACCACUCUAGAGAUAGAGCUUCCCCUUCGGGGGCAAAGUGACAGGUGGUGCAUGGUUGUCGUCAGCUCGUGUCGUGAGAUGUUGGGUUAAGUCCCGCAACGAGCGCAACCCUUAUUGUUAGUUGCCAUCAUUUAGUUGGGCACUCUAGCAAGACUGCCGGUGACAAACCGGAGGAAGGUGGGGAUGACGUCAAAUCAUCAUGCCCCUUAUGACCUGGGCUACACACGUGCUACAAUGGGAAGUACAACGAGUCGCGAAGUCGCGAGGCUAAGCUAAUCUCUUAAAGCUUCUCUCAGUUCGGAUUGUAGGCUGCAACUCGCCUACAUGAAGCCGGAAUCGCUAGUAAUCGCGGAUCAGCACGCCGCGGUGAAUACGUUCCCGGGCCUUGUACACACCGCCCGUCACACCACGAGAGUUUGUAACACCCGAAGUCGGUGAGGUAACCUUUUUGGAGCCAGCCGCCUAAGGUGGGAUAGAUGAUUGGGGUGAAGUCGUAACAAGGUAGCCGUAUCGGAAGGUGCGGCUGGAUCACCUCCUUU